rnacentral:misc_RNA from 1 species
UAACAUACUUCAUUUGUCGAAUUCACUGUUUAAUUUGAUAUUAUGAUUAUGACACUAAUAUUAUGAUUUUUCCAGUCACUAGACCUAAUUGCCCCUCGUCCUACGAACUCGUGAUUUGAUCAUAGUGAUUGCUCUCAAAUUAUUGCUAAAUAACAAAGUUUUCAUCGAAAAAUGGAAAUGUAUCGAUAACGUUUUUGUGGUCUUGUGGUAUUAAUUUCGAUAAUCUAGUUCGAUCUCCUGUAUUGAGAGGUACGCCACUGUGAAACUCCCACAACAAUAUUGAGGAUGACAAGAAGUGUAAAGGCAGCUGUUGAGAUGUCGCUUUUACUAUUUUUUUCCAUAAUGUUUCUUAGACAAACGCCAACGGAAAUGAUUCUUGAUGAAUCGCUGGUAUCAGGCCAAUGACUUUAUGAGUACGACCAUGUGUGUACAGGGUGGACUAAGUUUAAACAAAAUUAGCAUUUCUUUUGGUUUUUCAAAAGUCCGUUCUAAUUCUUCUGUUCCAAUAUCUUCAAUAACUUAAUAUUCAAAUAAUUGUAAUUGUAAUGUUCCAAUCCAGUUUCCAUGACGACAACCCUCAGAAAUCGAAAAAUGUAUGAAAUGUAUCGUCUCAAAGGGACUUGUCAAACGUACAUUCUAACGAAGAAUACUUGUUUUUCAAUCCUUUCUAAUCCUUUUCAUUUUUUACAGGACGGUGACCCAGUGGAACCGGGCAUGGACUGCCUGCAGCUACGCCAACCAGCAGGGCCCUUCCACUACCUCAUCAGCGAGCAAGCCAAGUCGCUGGUGGCCCUCCAAGAGCUCCAGCAUGAGGUGGGAGCUCUACUCGAGUUCCGCGACCUCGUCAUGGAGACGUUCCCUAACCUGCGCACCAAGUUGGCGGCUUCGACGCCAGCCACGAUGACGUCGCACCACCACCAUCACCACCACCCUAACUCAAAUAUACCCGUUUCGAUACGACCAGGCGAUUGGACGCCCGGCAUCAGGGUGCGGAAGAAAAUCGGCAGUAAAGACGAGGGGAGGAGCAAGAAGGGAGAUAUAGCGGUGCAGGACUCUGGAUUCAGUACGGAGACGUCGAGCAAGGAGACGCAUAGCGCGAGCUCAACGGUGCCACCUCCGUCGUCUACCGCUACCGGCGCUGCAGACACGGACGAAGUAGAAGACGAACUCUGGAACCUUUUGGACAUCAUCCACCGCAAAGGCAGUCGACUCAAACACGAGGCCGAGGCGCUCCAAGGCACCAUCCGCCAACAGGGCGAGAGAGACGGUGCUUUUCACAAAGAAAAUGAUGGAACGUUCCAGCGUGCUCUCUUCCACUCUUCUCCGGAUGACGCCAGGCAGCUGCGUCAAGAGCGCGACCAACUUUUGGACAGGCUGGCCGAGAUGGAGGCGGAAGUUUUGGCGGGUAGAGUGCACACCUCCAGGCUGCAAGAGGACUUGGAGUCGCUGCUCAGCGCCAAGCAGGAUCUGGAGGAGCAGCUGAAAGCGGUUGUGACGCAAAGAGGUGAAGUGAAUUCCAGGAUCCACGACUUGCACCUCCAGUUCGUGACCAAAAGCGGCUCUACGGACAGUGAGAAAAUAAACAGAUUUUCGGUCGGGGAGAGAAGAGACUCGUCGUCUUCUUCCUCCAGUCAAAGAACUAACCGGAAAAGUGUCGUUAGUGAACUCGACAGUGUCUUAGGCGAUAAGUUGCCAAAAGUUUCGACCGUAGCGGACAGUAAGAAGAUAUCCGCGAUACUGAAAGAGCACGAUCCUCUGGUGUUGCAGAAACAUCUGCUGUCGUCUACUGUGCAGAAUCAGGUUUUUCAAGAACAGCUCGAUUCUGCUAUCAGUUUGGAAGUCGAACUCAGGGACAAGCUCGACAAGUUUAAGGAGGAAAAUGAGGAUUUGCGAUUUCAGCUCCAAGACAAAAGCAUCGAACUGGAAGGCACCAGAGCGAGAGUCCGCUUGCUCGAAGACCUCCAAAAACCUCUGAACAAGAGCAGCUCCCCCGACAUCAUCCCCGUGACGUUGGAUACGACGCCGCCCGGUCGACCACCUUCGAGGACGGAAAUCUCCACGGCCAGCAUGAAGGCCAUGAGUCCGCUGACGUUGAGCAGCUUGAAGGCCGUCGCCUUGAACAUGGAUCUCUCGAGCAGUACAGAGUCUGCGCACGAUCAGUCGGCAGAGAAGGAGAGGAGGGAUAGCGCUGGGAAGUCGAGGAGGCCCAGCAAGAUCCCGUUGAAAAAUCACACGGCGCCUAAACCUCCACAAGGUAAACACAGCCCGGCACCAGGCACUCGUAACCGUAGCAGCGACUCACCAGGUAGACCGCACUCUGCACAGUCGUGGAGGAACAAGAGCGAGGGCAACAGCCUGAUCGGCUCCAAAAGCAACACCUCCCUGUCCAAGUCGAGGAACAGCUCGCUGGUCUCCGCCAAGGACUCCCUCUCCAGCAAGCUGCGCAACAGCGACUCUCUGAUGAAGCUAGCGCCUCCAGUACCCCGUGGGGGAACGCUGAAGAAGACCAGCACGCCGAUCAAGAAGGAGGGUUCCUCCGUCAGCGAAAAGAUACCAAACUCAAACUCAGCAAGAGAAAGAUCUCAGUCUCCAUGGAUUCUCUCUUCAUUUAACAGCGAUCGGGAGGCUGCCUACCCGGAUUCCUUGGACAAAAACGAUUCCAUCCAGCAAUCCAUCACUGAUAAUUCCGGCAGCCAUCGCUUCCAAACGGCCAAUACCUUUUUGUGGACUGCAGGAAAUGCCCGGGACAACAUCGAAUUUUACGACAGCAUAGACACCAACAUGGCUUCCAGCUUGUUUCACGUCAAUGGGGAAGAGUUGGCCGAGUGCGACUCCCUGGAGAGACACCUGUCGGAUUUUUCCGACAAGAAGUAGUUUUCUUCUUCUCUGGAGUUGCUGUUGGCUUGGUUGUGUUUCGCUUUGGGGUGUUUUGUUGUUGGUUUCAGCGUUUUGAUAGAAAUGUGAGGUUAAUUUGUGCAAGGCAAAUAUUGUCAUUCACGCCCUAGAGAAUUGAGUACAUAUUUCAGCUCGUCUCGGCGUUUAAGGGUAACUGGGUUGGUUUUUGUACAUUUUUUAGGUGUCUUGCAGGUCUAUUUAUAAUAUAGAAAUGUAUGAGGAAGUAAAUAGGGUGGCAGCAUUGCGUAGAGCAAGACCGCUGCGCCCCCAACGAAGCUCCCCUUAAUUAAUAACUUAAGGAGUAUGUCCAAAUGGCCACUAGAAAGAAAGGAAGAGAGAGAGAAAGAAAUUGUCACCUUCACCAUAAAAAACAAGGUUUAUGCACUUUAUUUAAAAAAAGGAGAAAUUACUGCAUGUUAGGAAGAGUUUUGUUGACUUGCUAUCGUGUUAACAGUGUACUAGGGCCGAAUAUUUGAAAUGAAUGUGAUGGAGUCGAUCAAUACAAAGAAAAUUCGUGAUAACAAUUUUAAUCAACACUAACAAGCCAUAUUUUUCACAAAUCACGUGAAAAACACAUGUCGUGUUCAUAAGUCUACAAAACGGUAACACGUGUUUCACAAAACCUUCAAUAUAUGGGAAACAUGUGUUACAGCUUUGUAAACUGUUGAGUCAUAAUCUAACAAUGAAAUUCCACCUGAAACAGAUACUAAUGUUGGUUUACUGAAAAAAAUGUUUGUUUGACUUGGAGAAUAAUGUAUAUUCAGGUAAAAUAAAUUGUUGACAACCGAAAUUUUUGGUUCCCUUGAUGUCUAUUUUCGCCAUCUUCAAAAUGUCACCAUUAACAGAGAACCGAUCAACAACUGUCCUUGAAUUCCCUAGAAAUUGCCAACUUUUCAACAAUGAAUAUAACUCCUAUAAUAAUGAAACAGCAAAAUGCUACAGGAGGUUUAAAAUUAGUUUAAACUGGAGCUCAAACUGUAGCUAGGGUUUUAAGUUUGGUUUAAACCAAACCUGCAAAACAAGCCUGAAUUCCAAACUUUAUCACAAUGGUUACUGUCUACUUUUAGUGUCAGCGGCAGUAAAAGUGGCAGCUUUGAAAAGUACUCAGAACAUCAUACAUUUUUAACGUCUCAUUAGCAUUUUUGCAUUGGAAUAAAAAAUUAUGUCUUAUUCAGAGAAAAGGGUUUCAUAGGUGGCUAACAUGGUUGUCAUACUUCCCUACUGUCACCUGUCAAUCUCCAUGAUUGCUACAGAAAACAUCGCUAGUAAAACGAGGUACUCCUAGAAUUAUAAAACAUUGGCAGAUAAUACUUUUUCCAUCAUAAGAUUACGUAUAAACUGAAGUUUCAGUGCAGCAUUGGCAUAAAUCAAAAUAACUACACCACACACUUAUGAAAUUAACGCCGGUAACCAGGCCAAGACAGGAAAAUGAAAUCAUGCCAAAAAGUAAGUAAAAAAAUUCGAAUUUGUGACUCGUUUGUGACAUUCCUAUUGUUUUUCAAAUAUUCUGAAGACUAAUAAUCUUCACUUAGAUAAUGUAAUUAACGAAAAUGAAUUCGUAGGGACCAUUCAUGAAUCGUGUCAUGAAUGUUUACUGUUUCAACUAAGGAAUAAAUAUNCUAAAU